rnacentral:rRNA from 1 species
UACAGAGGGUGCAAGCGUUGCUCGGAAUUAUUGGGCGUAAAGGGUAGGUAGGUGGUCUCAUUUGUCGGGGGUGAAAGCCUUGGGCUUAACCCAAGAAGUGCCUUCGAAACGGUGAGACUGGAGUCCUGGAGAGGGUCGUGGAAUUCCCGGUGUAGCGGUGAAAUGCGUAGAGAUCGGGAGGAACACCAGAGGCGAAGGCGGCGACCUGGACAGGUACUGACACUCAACUACGAAAGCGUGGGAGCAACAGG